rnacentral:lncRNA from 1 species
AGGCACCACGUGCGUGCCUAGUAAGUAGCAAAGGAGAUAAGCAGACGUCGUCGAAUCUCACAGAACUGGAUUUACAGACGGUUGUGAGACUCCAUAUGAGAACUGGGAUUUGAACCCCCGAUCCUCAGGGCUCUUAACCUAGGUCUCACUAUGUAGCCUCUGCUGGCCCGGAACUUGCUGUGUACCAGACUGACCUUGAAUUUUCGAGACUAUUGGGAUUAAUGACGUGGACUACCUACCUCUCCUGGCUAGCCCGCCAGUGUUUAAUUUGCUGUGUUCAUCACUUUCCUCAUCCUCAGGAGGGUAUCUCGUUACUAAGGCAACGGAGAAUGAUUGUGUUGUUUGCACCCGUUGUGGAGGA